rnacentral:rRNA from 1 species
AUUCCAGCUCCAAUAGCGUAUAUUAAAGUUGUUGCAGUUAAAAAGCUCGUAGUUGGAUUUCUGGUGAGUUCGUUUGGCCGGCCGUAAAGGUCUGUGCCGAAAUGUUAUUCGCCAUCCUUGGUGUAAUCUUGUCCGCCAUUAAGUUGUGUGGGCUUGAGGAUGCCAUCGUUUACUGUGAAAAAAUUAGAGUGUUCAAAGCAGGCUUAUGCCGUUGAAUACAUUAGCAUGGAAUAAUAAGAUAGGACCCUGGUACUAUUUUGUUGGUUUGCGUACCUAGGUAAUGAUUAAUAGGGACAGCUGGGGGUAUUUGUAUUCCGUUGUCAGAGGUGAAAUUCUUGGAUUUACGGGAGACAAACUACUGCGAAAGCAUUUACCAAGGAUGUUUUCAUCG